rnacentral:tRNA from 1 species
GGGAAUGUGGCUUAGUGGUAGAGUGCUUGCCUAGUAUGCAGAAAGACCUGGGUUCGAUUCCUCAGUACCA